UACAGAGGGUGCAAACGUUGUUCGGAUUUACUGGGCGUAAAGCGCGUGUAGGCGGCUUUGUAAGUCGGAUGUGAAAUCCCACGGCUCAACCGUGGAAGUGCAUCCGAAACUGCAUGGCUGGAGUCUCGGAGAGGAAGGUGGAAUGCUUGGUGUAGAGGUGAAAUUCGUAGAUAUCAAGCAGAACACCUGCGGCGAAGGCGGCCUUCUGGACGAUGACUGACGCUGAGACGCGAAAGCGUGGGGAGCAAACAGG
rnacentral:rRNA from 1 species